GAUGAAGAACGCAGCGAAAUGCGAUAAGUAAUGUGAAUUGCAGAAUUCAGUGAAUCAUCGAAUCUUUGAACGCACCUUGCGCUCCUUGGCAUUCCGAGGAGCAUGCCUGUUUGAGUGUCAUUAAAUUCUCAAGACCUGUCUGCUUUUUUGAUAGGUAUUGGAUUUUGGGGGUUGCAGGCUGUUUCAAAUAAAUAGCCUUGCUCUCCUUGAAUGUAUUAGUGGAGAAAAGCCAUUGAACUCCAUUGGUGUGAUAAAACCUAUCAAUGCCAGGAGCAAUAUUACUACUUCUCUCUGCUGUCUAACUGUGACUGUCUGUAUUAAUUAGUAUGGAUGGGGACAACUUGACCAACUUGACCUCAAAUCAGGUAGGACUACCCGCUGAACUUAAGCAUAUCAAUAAGCGGAGGA
rnacentral:misc_RNA from 1 species